AAUGGUCUGAACAAAUUUGACACAGUAACACACGCGAUUAAAUUGUUCUUUCAAACCGCAUUCUGAUUUGGGACGUUGCAGUACUCAGUGAUAUCGAGAAAUACCGGAGCUUUUUUUACUGGUUCGCUUUUGCAGCACAUAAGCUAAAAAAUCCAGCAAGUGAAUUGUAUAUUGCGCCGUUGAUACGGAAUUCUUUAAUUAACAAAUUCAUCAAAAUCGAGUAAAAGGUUUGAUCACUUCGAGUAACCAAUGGUGACGGAAAAUGCGUGACGAGGAGACAUGUCGAAAACUGAAUUGCCAACCAAAAUUCUACCGAAAACAAAGGUUUCAAGAUGUUUUGACGAAAUACUGCGCCAUACGAGAUUUUCAGGACAAAAAGAAAUUUGGAUUAAUUUGUACUGUUCCUCCUAAAGAAGCGUGCCGGCGAGCUGCAUUUGGAAAUUCGCAAAAGUGUGAGCGAAUCCAUUCUCGUGCGAAGAAUGAAUGCUGCAGUGGAAAGUAUCCCGUUGCCGCGUGGAAUGCUCCUUUACAUCCGCAAACACAUCUCUCACCUACCCGACUAAAGCACGUCCUGGGAACGGCUGUUAACGAAAAAGAAAAAAUAUGGCCAGGCCUGACUGAACUUCAGAAAAAUGCUUUGGACUUCCGGAGUAUGACACGCUGCGACGGCUGGCUAAAUCGACAAUCAAAACAUGCUGGGGUACAUAAUCCCAUGGACACCGGAAAAUAUCUGAAGAAAAAAGGUCAAGAAUGGAACCGUCUCCCAAGCAGCAAACAAUUACACUGAAAAUCCAAAAAUCGUACAUCCGGUUGACUACGCACCACAUGUACUGCAUGAAUACGCCAAAAAUCCAUCACCGUCCCUUCUUGGAUCACGACGCUUAUACGAGCAAGUUUUUCAUCGCAGUUUCAAACGCCGUUCUAGUUCACUGCGGAGAUCGGCUUUCGGCCCAAGGAGUUCGCAAAUUUAGUGUUUUUCAUUUCGUCCCAACCGAAACAGCCCGUGAAAGGCAACAUUGUGCGUCCGCGUCACGUUGAUGUAAUGGAAUAUGCGUUCAGCAAAACCGCUGAAGAGAAACGAGCGAAAGGUCACCUUCCAGGGAACGGUGAAAUGGCCAACAUUUCUACGGGAGAGGACGAUGUUCAUGAAAAAAACACAGAAGAGCGUUUACCUCUCAAAGAACCAUUGGAGAAAUUCGACCAAACAGUUACCGGAUCAAAAAUCACAAGUGAUAACCAAAAACCACGCAAAAGUUAGCAACAAUAGGAAAGCAAGUGAUGCAUUCAUUUGCUAUGAAAAGCCGGUUUCUAACGAAGCGCGCAUGAUUUAAUCAUUUUUAAAACUUUAAAGAAAUCGAUGUCAUAAACAACAACUUUCGAGCAGAUUUUCUAAAUCACAUCCGAGAUCACGCAUAAAACAUAGUAAAAGGCGCAAGAUUGUCAAACGGGUAAGCUGCUCAUUACAUAAU